CAAUUAUGUAUAAUUUUUAAAUGUCUAGUUCAAGAAAUUUAUUGUAUUCAGAAGACCAAAAAUGAACCAGAACAGAUUAAGAACAAACUGUUUUGAACAAUAAUAAUAUUAUUAUGAUGAUAAACAAACAGUUUUGUGCCUUCUUAAAUAGAAAACCAAAUAACUUUCACUAUUAGAGGUGGAUACAUUACUCCCAUGCAACAAAUUCUGUUGGAUUGUAUGCAAUUAAAUGUAGCUGAUUUUAAGGCAGUGUCCAGAGGUUCAGCAAGUAGAAUUAUAAAAAUAGUAUCCUUUACAAUUGCAAGAAUCAUCAAGAGCUAGAAAGCUGUUGAAGAUUCUUACAAGAUUGCUGUAUUCCCUAGAAUAAUGAGUGCAAUGGGUUAUACUUUAAUUAAAAUAGAUUCUGCAGGUGUUCAGGAUGCAGAAAUUUUCAGGUCCAGAAAAUCAUUUUUUGCAUUGAAUGUGAAUGUCCAGUCAGUAAUGCAAAAUUUAAAAUUAGAGAUAUUGUUGUACUGUGGCCAUCAAAUAAGACAAUUUUAAUAAUAGUAGGCUGAAGCAUAAUUCAGGGGCUUAGAAUCACACAAACAUUUUGUUUUAUUUUCGUCUACAGAAAUAUUAGGGUUACGGUAACUGAACGUUAUAUGUACCUAAGUAUAUGCAUGUGCAAAUCAGAACUAAAGCAGGUGGACAUACGUUCGUGUGAAUCUUAAAUAAGAAGUUGAAUGUAGUUAUGUUUGUGUGACCCUAGCCCCUGAAUUUUGAAAGUGGUAUCUUUGGCCAAUACGUAUUGGUUGGUGACAAUGACGAACAAGGAAUGUAGUAGAACAGCAAUAUGGAUUGUGGAAAUGAAGAUUUCCUAUACUCAGCUUAGAAAUGAGACUACAAUUAGACAACAUGACUGUGAUUGUUGCAACUAGAGUGCUUCAUAAUACUGACAUUGAUAUGGAUGACAAUUUUCCUGUGAAUAAAACUGAAGAUGAAGCAAACGAUGAAUAAUUACAACCGAUAAAAAAUAAUAAAAAUAUUUCAGAAAACAAUAUAACACUAAAUAAUAAGUGUUAAUAAAUGAACAGUGGUAGAUUGUAAAUAUAUUUAUUAAUAAAAGCAAAAUGAAUGUGUUAAA